GUGACUCCCCUAAGAUCCUCCCUUAAUGUAGCAAUGACAGUGGCAACGUGUACCCAUUUCGUAAUUCAAAAACUUAAAUACUUGCAAACGUUCUUACUCUGGAAUAUCACCCAAUCUGAUGGUUUUGAAUAUUAUCAAUGCAAUUACUACCUUUUCUAACUAGAAAGGGAAAAAAAAAAAAAAAAAGACAGGAAGUUGGCUAGGAAGUAAGAUACCUGAUCCAGACAGUUUGAAAAAUCGAAAAUGUGCAGCGUGGCUGGGUGAGGUGUCUGGGUCCCAAGGAGAAGUGUAAGACUGAACAAAGACGAAACAAGUCAAAGGCCCAUUUUCAAAGUGGAAGGGGGGGUCAACAUCUCACACUGCACCUUGUAAAUUGGAACUCGACCCUUUAACUGUGUGAUUUUAGUCCUCUAUCCAUUUCAAUAUGCUUAAGAACAGCUAUUACCCUGGAGCCGUUAUAACACGUGAGGGACCGUGCGAGAUGAGUGCUUUACGUCUCUUUUUAAAUUUUCAGAUGUAAGUACAAGUAAAAGGAACCCCCAUAUGCCUAUCACCCAUGCUGAACAAGGAUAUCACCUAAUUUAAUCACCUCUUUCACCCUCUGAGGGAUUCCUAAUCCCAACUGACAGGUGGUAAACAGGCGCAGAGAUCCCUGAACUUGCUCGAGGCCCCCAGAUGCCAGGGGCGGGGUCAGGAUUCCCGCGCCCGGAUUCCAAACACCACCCCUGCCCCCACGUCCCUUCGUCCCUUCAUGCGCGCGUCAUUACCAUUCUUCUCCCUUCUUCUGCCACCUCGUGGGACAAAAGUGCCUUUCCCGUGACAAAGCCUCCUGUGUCCCCGCUCCCAGGUCGCGUAGGGCAUGGAGCUGGAGAACUAUGAACAACCCGUGGUUCUGAGAGAGGACAACCGCCGCCGGCGCCGGAGGAUGAAGCCGCGCAGCUCCGCGGCCAGCCUGUCCUCCAUGGAGCUCAUCCCCAUCGAGUUCGUGCUGCCCACCAGCCAGCGCAACAGCAAGACCCCCGAGACGGCGCUGCUGCACGUGGCCGGCCAUGGCAACGUGGAGCAGAUGAAGGCCCAGGUGUGGCUGCGCGCGCUGGAGACGAGCGUGGCGGCGGACUUCUACCACCGGCUCGGCCCGGACCACUUCCUCCUGCUCUACCAGAAGAAGGGUCAGUGGUACGAGAUCUACGACAAGCACCAGGUGGUGCAGACCCUGGACUGCCUGCGCUACUGGCAGGUGCUGCACCGGAGCCCGGGCCAGAUCCACGUGGUGCAGCGGCACGCGCCCUCCGAGGAGACGCUGGCCUUCCAGCGGCAGCUCACCGCCCUCAUUGGCUACGACGUCACUGACGUCAGCAACGUGCAUGACAACGAGCUCGAGUUCACGCGCCGCCGCCUGGUCACCCCGCGCAUGGUCGAGGUGGCGGGCCGCGACCCCAAGCUCUACGCCAUGCACCCGUGGGUGACCUCCAAGCCCCUCCCGGAGUACCUGCUGAAGAAGAUCACCAACAACUGCAUCUUCAUCGUCAUUCACCGCAGCACUACUAGCCAGACCAUCAAGGUCUCGGCCGACGACACCCCAGGCACCAUCCUCCAGAGCUUCUUCGCCAAGAUGGCCAAGAAGAAGUCUCUGAUGGAUAUCCCCGAGAGCCAAAAUGAACAGGACUUUGUGCUGCGCGUGUGCGGCCGCGAUGAGUACCUGGUGGGUGAAACGCCCAUCAGAAACUUCCAGUGGGUGAGACAUUGCCUCAAGAAUGGAGAAGAGAUUCACCUGGUGCUGGACUCGCCUCCAGACCCAGCCCUGGACGAGGUGAGGAAAGAAGAGUGGCCCCUGGUGGACGACUGCACGGGAGUCACUGGCUACCACGAGCAGCUGACCAUCCACGGGAAGGACCACGAGAGUGUGUUCACCGUGUCCCUGUGGGACUGCGACCGGAAGUUCAGGGUCAAAAUCAGAGGCAUUGAUAUCCCCGUCCUGCCCCGGAACGCUGACCUCACUGUUUUUGUGGAGGCCAACAUCCAGCACGGGCAGCAGGUGCUUUGCCAAAGGAGAACCAGCCCCAAACCCUUCACCGAGGAGGUGCUCUGGAAUGUGUGGCUCGAGUUCAGCAUCAAAAUCAAAGACUUGCCCAGAGGGGCUCUACUAAACCUCCAGAUCUACUGCAGCAAAACUCCAGCCCUGUCGGGCAAGGUGGCCGCAGAGAGCCCCAGCUCCGAGUCCAAAGGCAAAGCGCAGCUUCUCUAUUACGUGAACCUGCUGCUGAUAGACCACCGGUUCCUGCUGCGCCACGGGGAGUACGUGCUCCACAUGUGGCAGAUCUCCGGGAAGGGAGAAGACCAUGGGAGCUUCAAUGCCGACAAGCUCACGUCCGCGACCAACCCAGACAAGGAGAACUCCAUGUCCAUCUCCAUUCUUCUGGACAAUUACUGCCACCCCAUCGCCUUGCCUAAGCAUCGGCCCACACCUGACCCUGAAGGGGACCGGGUUCGGGCUGAAAUGCCCAACCAGCUUCGCAAGCAACUGGAGGCAAUCAUCGCCACGGAUCCACUGAACCCUCUCACCGCAGAGGACAAAGAACUGCUCUGGCAUUUCAGAUACGAAAGUCUCAAGCAUCCAAAGGCCUAUCCUAAGCUGUUUAGCUCCGUAAAAUGGGGACAACAAGAGAUUGUAGCCAAAACAUACCAACUGUUAGCCAGACGGGAGGUCUGGGACCAAAGUGCUUUGGAUGUUGGGUUAACAAUGCAGCUCCUGGACUGCAACUUCUCGGACGAAAACGUAAGAGCCAUCGCAGUUCAGAAACUGGAGAGCUUGGAGGACGAUGACGUCUUGCAUUACCUGCUACAGCUGGUCCAGGCUGUGAAAUUUGAACCUUAUCAUGACAGCGCCCUGGCCCGAUUUCUGCUGAAGCGAGGCUUAAGAAACAAAAGAAUCGGUCAUUUCUUGUUUUGGUUCUUGAGAAGCGAGAUAGCCCAGUCCCGGCACUAUCAGCAGAGGUUCGCCGUGAUCCUGGAAGCCUACCUGAGGGGCUGCGGCACGGCCAUGCUCCACGACUUCACCCAACAAGUUCACGUGAUCGAGACGCUGCAGAAGGUCACCAUUGAUAUUAAGUCACUCUCUGCUGAGAAGUAUGAUGUCAGUUCCCAAGUUAUUUCACAACUUAAGCAAAAGCUUGAAAACCUGCAGAAUGCGAAUCUCCCCAAAAGCUUUAGAGUGCCGUAUGAUCCUGGACUGAAGGCGGGAGCCUUAGUGAUUGAAAAAUGUAAAGUGAUGGCCUCCAAGAAGAAGCCGCUGUGGCUUGAGUUUAAAUGUGCCGACCCCACAGCCUUAUCCAGCGAAACGAUUGGAAUCAUCUUUAAACACGGUGAUGACCUGCGCCAAGACAUGCUGAUUUUACAGAUUCUACGAAUCAUGGAAUCCAUUUGGGAGACUGAAUCUUUGGAUCUGUGCCUCCUGCCAUAUGGUUGCAUUUCAACUGGGGACAAAAUAGGAAUGAUCGAGAUCGUGAAAGAUGCCACAACAAUUGCCAAAAUUCAGCAAAGCACAGUGGGCAACACAGGUGCAUUCAAAGAUGAGGUCCUGAAUCACUGGCUCAAAGAAAAAUGCCCCAUUGAAGAAAAGUUUCAGGCAGCCGUGGAGAGAUUUGUUUACUCCUGCGCUGGCUACUGUGUGGCUACCUUUGUUCUUGGAAUAGGCGACAGGCACAACGACAAUAUUAUGAUCACGGAGACAGGAAACCUAUUUCAUAUUGACUUUGGACACAUUCUUGGGAAUUACAAAAGUUUCCUGGGCAUUAAUAAAGAAAGAGUGCCGUUUGUGCUAACCCCAGACUUCCUGUUUGUGAUGGGAACUUCUGGAAAGAAGACAAGCCUACACUUCCAGAAAUUUCAGGCCAGUGAAACAUUAAAAAUAUCAGGAAGAUACUGAAAACCCACCUUCCAAAAAGAACGCUGUCCGCAUUUGAGCGUUUUGCCUUUAUUCUACUCUUUGGCCUCGAAGAAGAUUGUAAAUUCAUCAGAAUUUGGUUAAAACCUGAACUGAAGCAAUAGAUACAGUGCUACUCCCUAUAAACUGUUCAGCGGCUUCUCACCUCACUUUGAAUCAAAUCUGAUUAUCGAAGCCUGCCCAGGAGGCUCCAUUCCAGGAGCCCACUGCACACCCCCCGCACUCACUUCCGAACAGAGCAGUCGCCCACUGGUGGGGCCCCCGGCCGUGUGCUUUGCCCUGCACUGUGCCUUCAUGGCACCUGGGACCACAUAUUGCCGUCCGGGCAAGGCUAUGGCAGCCGGGCCCCGUCUGACCUGAAUCCCUCUUGUGGGGCCUGAGAUGGGAGCGCUCAGGAGGUAUUUGCAGAGUGGAGAGGAGAGGGCGGAGGGUCAGUUCCUGCCUGCUCUUGGCACACAGUAGGCACUGAGCAAAUGCAUGUUAGAUAAAGCAAAAGAAAGCUGGGGAGCCAGAUAACACCUUCUCGGGCACAUCUAUGCAAAGCAGGCAGCUCGAGGAGCACACUUAAAAGGCAUUUGCCCCUAGAUGUCACUCUUAAGAAGCGUUUUAUAGGAGAGAGUUCUGGAACUUAUUCAUGGUAUUACUUUAAUCUUGGGGGCCGGCUUUACCACCCCUGGCAGUGAGGUCCCUGCACCCGAUCUCCGUGCGGAGUCCUGACCGGGGUUAAGAAUGAUCUCAGCUGUCGUCUUGCUCUCCUCUUGGCCCCAGGUUCUUUUAACUGCCUCUGCCUCAGUUUCCCCAGCACGGCCCUGCUUGUUAACCUGCCUUUAGGAGCGGGGCCCUGCCCCCACCUACCAGUUGCCUUGCUGGAAACUCAAGCACUGUCCUAACCCCCGCCACAGGGACCCUAGCGCUUGACACUUCUGAGGACUGUGGCCUCCUCACCGGUAUUCCCCAUUCCUGCUCUCUGACCGCCCUUCCCCACGUGGUAACCCUGGGUUUGUCUACACUGAGAACCCCCUGUACUUAACGGGCUGCCAGCCUGCACCUUCUCAGCCUCCUGCUCCGCCCUGUUGUGGUCACCAGGCCCUGUUUUUCCCUAGUUCUUACCAGGCCCUGAUGGAUAAGAUCCAUUGCACUUUACGGGGCAGACACAGGAAGGGAAGGAACAUCCAGGCAGAAAGAAUAGCAUUAGCCGGGGCAUGAAGUCAGUAUUUAGUAUCCGUAUUUAGGAACAAAAAGUACAGGCGCCCAGUAUGAAAGCCACACAGGUAUAGACAGAAAUGUGGGGUGAAAUUUGGGUCAAGGAAAGAAAUUUGCAUCUGGUUUGAAGCAGCCAAUAGGGAGACCACAAGCUUAUCUGUCAAUAUCUCAGAUGUGCCCAGAACACACGGACUUGAGAAAGGAUUUCCUCCUGGGACCUGCACCCUGGACCAUAACAAGGUCAGGCUCAGCCUGCUCUCUCCCCGUCUGAGGAUGCUCAGUCUAUACUAUCCACCGGAAGACAGCCUCAGAGAAGGGUCCAGCAUCAGUCAUCCGUAGGCAUUGGGAUUCACGGGCAUGGAUUUUGGAUCCCCGUAACUUUUAAACAUCUAUCAAGAAUAGCCUUCCAACUGGCAUCUCCUCUCCCUGUUUAGUUUCUUCCAGAGAAUUGUUUCGUCUACCCGAAGAGUAUUAUUGAGGCUGUUACUCCCCAUGUUACAAAAAAGUGUACUCUUUUUAUAGAGAUCCUCUUGCAAAAUCUCUGUUAGGUCAUAGUCUCCAGAAAGGCUGUGUUUCUCCUACACAAAGAGUUUCUUAAAAUCAUCUGACCAUUGGGUGAAGUAAGCGGUUUGAUUUUCCUUUUGGCUACAGAAACAUUUGAAGAUGGCCCACGGCAAGUACAUAGCAUUUGUGAUGUAUGGCCUUGAACUGGUCGUUAUCCCAACCCCCUGUGAUCAUGUCCUUUGUCCUUCCUUUCCUUUUCCUACUCACUUCAAAUUAAUGUUAUUUUGACUUCUGUGUACCCAGAUCAUCCAACCUCAGUCCCUUCUGAAACAGGCUAGAACACGCAUACAUACCCUACAUACAGUCCAUUUAGAAUAUCUGACUAAUAAUGCAAGGCAAUGUGACCGGUAGGUUUCUAAUGAGCUUCUAAGUAUUUGAGAACAUGGCAACACAGCCCUUCGCCUGGUAGACGGAGCUGGUCUGA